rnacentral:rRNA from 1 species
AACGAACGCUGGCGGCAGGCUUAACACAUGCAAGUCGAGCGCAUCCUUCGGGGUGAGCGGCAGACGGGUGAGUAACGCGUGGGAACGUACCCUUUCCUACGGAAUAGCUCCGGGAAACUGGAAUUAAUACCGUAUACGCCCUUAGGGGGAAAGAUUUAUCGGGGAAGGAUCGGCCCGCGUUGGAUUAGAUAGUUGGUGGGGUAAAGGCCUACCAAGGCGACGAUCCAUAGCUGGUCUGAGAGGAUGAUCAGCCACAUUGGGACUGAGACACGGCCCAAACUCCUACGGGAGGCAGCAGUGGGGAAUAUUGGACAAUGGGCGCAAGCCCGAUCCAGCCAUGCCGCGUGAGUGAUGAAGGCCUUAGGGUUGUAAAGCUCUUUCAGUAGGGAAGAUAAUGACGGUACCUACAGAAGAAGCCCCGGCUAACUUCGUGCCAGCAGCCGCCGUAA